UUUUCUGUCAACACUGAGCAGCGGGCGUGGAAAUGUUCCACCAUAACUAUUAAUCACGUCAAGCGGACAUGGAGCGCAUCCCACUCCCACACCACGCCACCCUUUGUCUUCUCAAACUACAACUUGAGCCGUUUAAACUUUUUAAAAUCCGAGCAGGAGGGGACCAUCUCUUAUCAGUUUACCUUUCAGACUACUUUGUGGAAGAUUGGGAGUGAGGAGUUCGGCCAGAUUUGCAUACCACUGCACCAGCUCAGAGUGCACAUGCAUGGCAUGCCGGGGAGCGUCUGUGACUGGAGCUGACGGUGGAGGGAAAACAGACCCUCUCUCCCACGCCGGGUUUCGCCACCGCACCUGAACUUUUUCCUGACCCAAGCCGAGGCCCAGAGAGUCGAGUGUGAAGUUAUUUGGGGUCAAAAACAAGGAGAGGAUGGAGACUACAAAACCAAUUACGAACAUAGCUAAACCUCCGUUUUCAGCUGGGAAAGUUUUGGAUACUUUUUAGGAUGGGUGUUUGUCCUUUUCAGCAGUUUCAAGUUUCAAAGUUUAUUCGCCACUGCACAGAAUUCAACAGGUGUAAAACCGUACAGUGGAAUUCUUGAUUUGAGAGCUAGUUCCAAUAAUCCGUGAUAAUACUAUAGUAAUACUAUACACUAGUGAUAAUACUAUAGAAAAUAACCGAACAUAUAAUACAAAAUGCAAUCAAGAAUAAAAACCACACAAGAUGAUUAGCCUAUUACAGCAUUUGGUUAGUUUCUUUGUUUAUACUUUUGCUGAGUUAUUUCUUCAGAUAUAUCAAACUCCCAACAUUCCCCGGCCACCAAGAGGACUUGAGCUGUCGACCUCUCCACACCCUCUGUCUUUGGGUGUUCGCCAGACGGCGGUGGCUAUAGGCUACAUAUCUCCCCACAAUGUUGACAUUUGAAGCUCUUAACAGCGAGCCUUGGGUUACCGAUACACUCAGCAGAAGAUAACUCUUUCUCAGGGGUUUACAUUGACCAACAUCAAGGCUAAUGCGAAAUUCAACGCCUUAAACUGGCUUGGCGUCCAAGCUAAGACAAAGAAGCCUCGGUGGAUCUCGACUACACGGACUGACUUCUGUUCUGCUGGUUUGUUUCAGUACGUAUUGUAGAAAUAAAAUUGUAUUAAUGUU